AGAUACUGAGGACUCACCAAUCAUGAGUUCAGCAAACAGCAGAAAAAAAGCACAAAAAGCAUCGCAGCAAAAUGAGAUGUCAAAGUUCAUCACAGAUGCCAGAGGAAAUUGUUAUGUAUUUUGGUGCUCCGCUGGCGAACCUGACCGAUAACCCCCUUAGUUUUUGGAAGGAGUAUGAAAGAACAUUCCCCCGCUCUAUCCAAAGUGGCGAGGAAAUACUUGUUAACCAUGGCCACUUUGGCUCCAUAAGAGUGGCUUUUCUCCAAGGCUGAAUAAAUCAAAGCAAGACACGGAACAGAUUAAAGGGGAAGAUGCUGUCCAAGUUAUUCUUUUUACAGAAUGCAGGGCUCUUAUUGUGGAUAGUUCAACUGUCCUGAAGUUUUACCCACAUCACCUACUGUAUGUAAUUUUUUUCAUUUAUUCCUCCAUGGAGAAUAUACAUAUCAGCAUGGGAGACAGACAUUCAGAUUCUCUGUUCUGACAGAUAAGAGCUGGAGACCCUAUACAGUGGAUAUUAAACUUCUUGAAGGAUCAGAAUUUUCCCAGGAUUCUUCACUCCAGAGUGGUUUAUAGUUUGCUCUGACAGAAACACUCUAUAAAACUUGUAGUGGUCCUCUUUUUUUUCGUAGAAGUUUGUACACAUCCUAUAUACAGUAUCUAGAGCACAAGUGAGACUGUAACAGAAAGCAUUCCUUCUGAGGAUGAUGUUGGGACUCAAUGUUACAUCUUCUUAGCAUUUAGAUUGAUUUUCACAGAACAUAAGAGGAAAAAUCUCUUGUGUGUUUUGAGCAAGAUGCCACAUGGACCCAAGCACUGAUGCCAAUCAGAUUUCAACUGACUUGAAAAGCAAAUUGAUAUGGGUCCCAUGUUCAAAGAAUCUUGCAAUUGCACAUACCUCAGAUAGACCAGUAUCUUAUUUUGUAUAACAUCCAAGGCUCAUCAUUUUUCAUUACCUAUCUUAUUUGUUAGUGUUAAUAUAGUUUAUGUACCCCAUGUAUUUUAUUAUAA